rnacentral:rRNA from 1 species
CACGUAGUUAGCCGGUGCUUCUUCUGCUCCUACCGUCACUCUCGCUUCUUCGGAGCUGAAAGAGGUUUACAACCCGAAGGCCUUCAUCCCUCACGCGGCGUCGCUGCGUCAGGCUUCCGCCCAUUGCGCAAUAUUCCCCACUGCUGCCUCCCGUAGGAGUCUGGGCCGUGUCUCAGUCCCAGUGUGGCCGGUCACCCUCUCAGGCCGGCUACCCGUCGUCGCCUUGGUAGGCCAUCACCCCACCAACAAGCUGAUGGGCCGCGAGCCCAUCCCCCGACCGAAAAAACUUUCCACCCCCCACCAUGCGGCAAGAGGUCAUAUCCAGUAUUAGCCACCGUUUCCGGUGGUUAUCCCGGAGUCGAGGGCAGGUUGCUCACGUGUUACUCACCCGUUCGCCACUGAUCAGACCCAGCAAGCUGAGUCGUCACCGUUCGACUUGCAUGUGUUAAGCACGCCGCCAGCGUCUCCUGAGCCAGGACUCAAACUACU